AUAGACCCGAAACCCGGUGAUCUAGCCAUGGGCAGGUUGAAGGUUGGGUAACACUAACUGGAGGACCGAACCGACUAAUGUUGAAAAAUUAGCGGAUGACCUGUGGCUGGGGGUGAAAGGCCAAUCAAACCGGGAGAUAGCUGGUUCUCCCCGAAAGCUAUUUAGGUAGCGCCUCGUGAAUUCAUCUCCGGGGGUAGAGCACUGUUUCGGCUAGGGGGCCAUCCCGGCUUACCAACCCGAUGCAAACUGCGAAUACCGGAGAAUGUUAUCACGGGAGACACACGGCGGGUGCUAACGUCCGUCGUGAAGAGGGAAACAACCCAGACCGCCAGCUAAGGUCCCAAAGUCAUGGUUAAGUGGGAAACGAUGUGGGAAGGCCCAGACAGCCAGGAUGUUGGCUUAGAAGCAGCCAUCAUUUAAAGAAAGCGUAAUAGCUCACUGGUCGAGUCGGCCUGCGCGGAAGAUGUAACGGGGCUAAACCAUGCACCGAAGCUGCGGCAGCGACGCUGAUGCGUUGUUGGGUAGGGGAGCGUUCUGUAAGCCUG
rnacentral:rRNA from 1 species